rnacentral:rRNA from 1 species
AAAGGUGGGGAUCGCAAGACCUGCCCCCUGAUGAGGGGUCCGUGUGCCAUCAGCUUGUUGGUGGGGUAACGGCCUACCAAGGCAUACGGCUAGCUGGUCUGAGAGGAUGAUCAGCCGCACUGGGACUGAGACACUGCCCAGACUCCUACGGGGGGCUGCAGUCGAGGAUCAUUCGCAAUGGGGGGAACCCUGACGAUGCGACGCUGCGUGGAGGAUGACGGCCUUCGGGUUGUAAACUCCUGUCAUGGGGGAAGAGCUAUGGGGGGUUAAUAGCCUCUCUGACGGACGGUACCCCAAGAGGAAGCCACGGCUAACUCUGUGCCAGCAGCCGCGGUAAUACAGAGGUGGCGAGCGUUGUUCGGAUUUACUGGGCGUAAAGGGCGCGUAGGCGGCGCAGUGUGUCAGGUGUGAAAUCCAUGGGCUCAACCCAUGAAGUGCGCCUGAAACUGCUGUGCUUGAGUGCGGGAGGGGAGACUGGAAUACAGGGUGUAGCGGUGAAAUGCGUUGAUAUCCUGUAGAACACCGGUGGCGAAGGCGGGUCUCUGGAACGCAACUGACGCUGAGGCGCGAAAGCGGGGGGAGCAAACAGGAUUAGAUACCCUGGUAGUCCACGCUGUAAACGAUGAAUACUAGCUGUUGGGGAGCACUGCUCUUCAGUGGCGCAGCAAACGCAAUA